CCACAAAAUCCAUAAUGAAUUAUACCGACUUGUUUGACCCUAUAUAACCUCAGCUUGAUAUUUCAACAAAAAUAAUUAAUAUUAAACCAACAAAAGAAAUCCCUAGAAGCCUAAAGAAAAGGGGGAAAGAUGAGGCCGAUGCCGAUGGAAUUUGUGACGGACCCAGAUGACCAAGGUUCAGCCAUGGAAGUCGACGAUGUUGACACACCGGAGAUCUUCGGCGAAGGCGUCGUCGCUUCCGACAAUUUUGAUGACUUCGAUAUCUACUAAAAAAAAAGAAGAAUCGGUCCUCGGGUUCAACUACAUAAUACAAAUUCCACCUCUGAACUUCAUUUUUCCUUUAAAAUAAAGCUUCGAUUUGAUCUCUUUUAGUGAGACAAAUGGCUGAAAAUCUUAUGCAUGCUUUACAAUAUAACAGCUAUGGCGGAGGCACUGCUGCUUUGAAGGUAAAAAUCUACUGUUUUGCUUUUCUUUUUCUUUUUUUGUACUGUUUAUCUACAUAAUCUGUUGCUGAAAAUCUUAUGCAUGAUUUAUUUUGCUUUUCUUUUUCUUUUUUUGUACUAUUUUCUUAAUAUAAUUUUGUACUGUUUUGCUGAGACGGAGAGGUUGAUACUUUAUAGUGAAGUGUUUAAAUUUUUUAUAUGGAUCUGCUUGACAUAAACUUGAAAAAAUAAUGGGCAGGGACUUGAUUUUAUAACGCUGUGAAUUUUUGUGCUUUUUACAGCAUGUUGAAGUUCGGAUCCGAACUCCAAAUAAAGGUGAAAUUUUGCUUAAAUUGGAUUGUAGACUAGUUUGUAGAUUGGUUUGUAGACUCUUUUAUAAUUUAACCAACAAAAUAAUAGACUGGUUUGUAGAUCUCUUAAUUCAAAAUGGAUAGCCUUUCAAUUGCUUCUGUUUUGUUUCUACUUAUUGUUUUAAGCUGGAAAGGUUGGUUUUCUUUUUAAAGGAAAGUUGAUUCUCCCUUAGUUCUUAGAUUUCCAGAACUGUGCUGUGUUCUGUUUCUUUGUAUGUGCUUGGUUUAUUAACAAAUCUGGUUUUUUUGGAUGUUGAAUUUUACUGAUGAAAAAUAAAGAUUCCUCAAAAUAUUUCUUGUCAUUUUCUUUUAUUUUUUUUUCAUACUGGGUAUUCAACUUUAAUAAUAAAAGAAUGGAAUUUAGGGGUACUCAAGAGAAAAUUUUAGGUUUCUUUCUUGGGAAUUUUGACUCUCUUAUUUUUUUCUUUUGUCAUUUUGUUUUCUCAUGUCUUCUCUGAAAGUUUGAAUUUCUGUCUGAAUUAUAGUUGAAACCAUUUACUUCUACAUUUAAAAUGGUUUCUACUUUAAUAAUACUGAAAAAUUAAUAAUUUUAUUAGACGAUUUAAAAUAUGUAGUGUCGGGUUUUCUAGAUUAUUGAUUAAGUUGUAUGUUUGUCGGUAGACUGGUCAAGCUAUGGCAAGUGCUCUCAAUGUUGUACAAACAUCUCAUUCGUAUGGGGAUUUAAUGCUUCUAAUGAAAGCUGCUGAACUGCAACAAGUGUGUGCUGCUCUUGGUGGUUUUUUUACAACGUUUUUAAGUGAUAAAACUUAUGUUAACUUUGUGAGGAAUUAGGUCUCGUAACACGUGAUUCAUCUGAAUAUCUAUUUGUUUUAGUGUUAAUAAUUCUUUUAACAUUUUAACUUAUCAUAGAUGGUAUGUUUUGAUUUAGCAUUCUUGUUUAUCAUGUAAAGAAAUUGUCUGGAAUUUUAAUAGCAAAAAUUGGAAUUUUUUUUUGUUGUUGUCUAUGUUUUACUUGUGAAUUGUGAUUGCAAUGGUUUACCUUCCUUUGGUGUAAAAUCUACUUAGCCAAUUGGAAUGUUCAAUGAUUUAUUUAGCCCUUGUACUCAGCAAUAUUACUUCUAAUUGUACUGCAACACAUCUAUAUGCCCAUUUCUUACCUGUAAUCAUGUUGCAUAUGCUUCGGCUUUUUAAAUCGUGAAUCAUGAUUAAUGAAAAUGAGAUGAAUAGCUGAUGCCUUUCCUGAUUUUCAGGUUUGACAAGGAAUUGAACAAGUAAGUUGCUAUUAAAGUUAUUGAUUUAGAAGAAUCGUAAGUGGAUACCUUUGUUAUAUUUUCCUUGAUUUAUUCCUCAUUAAGGUGUCUUGUAGCAGGUGCUUGCUAUGAGCAGCAAAGUAUGAAUGAAUGUGAUUAUCAACUUUACAAAUAUACAUAGUAAAGUUUAAAGUAUGAAUCGAAUUGCUAUAAGCAGCAAAUCUAGGGAUAAAACAACGUCACACCAAAUUGCUAUGAGCAGCAAAGAAAAUUUUUUUAAUUGCAGAAAACCAACUUCCCUUCUUUCCCAUACUGCCAGAAAAUUUAGGGACCGCACGACUUGUGGUUGAUUUCGAUAGGUGGUGGACUGGUGAGGAAUCUGUGAAUGUUCUCUUAGAAGCCGUAGGCCAAGGAACACAUGCCCUAUGCCCUAUUUUCGUUUAAGGACCGCUAAGGAAAUUCUGAAACUAAAAGCUGAUUGAUCGGAUGUGUAUGCCGGCUUUCAUCAACUACUUUCGAAGGCCUUACUAGGAAUUGAAAUGGUUUGCAAAGAGAUUGCUUCUUCUGAUCUGAUUUUUCAAUAUAAAUACUGGACCAAGUAUGGAUAUUUUACUGCUGUUAGUAAAAUAGGAUUCUCUUCUUAGGAUCUUAGUUUCUUCACUUGUAUUAGACUCAACAAUGGCUUGCAUUGCAUUGGUGUUGAUUUUACCAAAAUAUUCGAGGUUUGUAAUUUUUAAUUUUUAUUAAUUAUUUACGUUUUCUCACUUUUAUUAA